rnacentral:rRNA from 1 species
UACGUAGGGGGCAAGCGUUGUCCGGAUUCAUUGGGCGUAAAGAGCGUGUAGGCGGCCAGGUAGGUCGGUUGUGAAAACUGGAGGCUCAACCUCGAGACGCCGGUGGAAACCGUCUGGCUAGAGUCCGGAAGAGGAGAGUGGAAUUCCUGGUGUAGCGGUGAAAUGCGCAGAUAUCAGGAAGAACACCCGUGGCUAAGGCGGCUCUCUAGUACGGUACUGACGCUGAGACGCGAAAGCGUGGGGAGCGAACAGG